rnacentral:rRNA from 1 species
GACGAACGCUGGCGGCGUGCCUAAUACAUGCAAGUAGGACGCAGUUGCGAACGGGUGAGUAACGCGUUGGUAACUACCUAUUAGAGGGGGAUAACUAUUGGAAACGAUAGCUAAUACCGCAUACUAGUAGAUGGACCUGCGUUGUAUUAGCUAGUAGGUAGGGUAAUGGCCUACCUAGGCAAUGAUACAUAGCCGACCUGGGAGGGUGAUCCGCCACACUUGGACUGAGACACGGCCCCGACUCCUCCGGGAAGCAGCAGUAGGGAAUCUUCGGCAAAUGGGGGAACCCUGAACGAGCAACGCCGCGUGAGUGAAAGAAGGUUUCGGAUCGUAAAGCUCUGUUGUUAAGGGAGCGGUACUUAACCAGAAAGGGACGGCUAACUACGUGCCAGCCGCCGCGGUAAUAC